rnacentral:rRNA from 1 species
UGAACGCUGGCGGCAUGCUUUACACAUGCAAGUCGAACGGUAACAGGGAGCUUGCUCCGCUGACGAGUGGCGAACGGGUGAGUAAUAUAUCGGAACGUACCCUGUCGUGGGGGAUAACACAUCGAAAGAUGUGCUAAUACCGCAUACGACCUGAGGGUGAAAGCGGGGGAUCGCAAGACCUCGCGCGAUAGGAGCGGCCGAUAUCGGAUUAGCUAGUUGGUGAGGUAAAGGCUCACCAAGGCGACGAUCCGUAGCUGGUCUGAGAGGAUGAUCAGCCACACUGGGACUGAGACACGGCCCAGACUCCUACGGGAGGCAGCAGUGGGGAAUUUUGGACAAUGGGCGCAAGCCUGAUCCAGCCAUGCCGCGUGAGUGAAGAAGGCCUUCGGGUUGUAAAGCUCUUUCAGACGGAAAGAAAUCGGGCGCGUGAAUAGCGUGCCUGGAUGACGGUACUGUCAGAAGAAGCACCGGCUAACUACGU